rnacentral:rRNA from 1 species
ACGUAGGGGGCAAGCGUUGUCCGGAUUCACUGGGUGUAAAGGGCGCGCAGGCGGGUUAACAAGUCAGAGGUGAAAUCCUACAGCUUAACUGUAGAACUGCCUUUGAAACUGUUAAUCUUGAGUGCGGAAGAGAGAGACGGAAUUCCAGGUGUAGCGGUGAAAUGCGUAGAUAUCUGGAAGAACACCAGUUGCGAAGGCGGUCUCUUGGUCCGUUACUGACGCUCAGGCGCGAAAGCGUGGGGAGCAAACAG